CACAAGCGGUGGAGCAUGUGGUUUAAUUCGAUGGUACGCGAGAAACCUACCAGGGCUUGACAUACACCGGAAGCGCCGUGAAAGCGGCGUGCCGCUUGCGGCCGGUGAACAGGUGCUGCAUGGCUGUCGUCAGCUCGUGCUGUGAAGUGUUGGGUUAAGUCCCCGCAACGAGCGCAACCCCUGCCGUCUGUUGCCACCACGAAAGGUGGGGACUCAGGCGGGACCGCCGGUGACAAACCGGAGGAAGGUGGGGACGACGUCAAGUCAUCAUGGCCCUUAUGUCCUGGGCCACACACGUGCUACAAUGGCCGGUACAGAGCGCAGCGAGGCCGCGAGGCGGAGCGAAUCGCUUAAAGCCGGUCCCAGUACGGAUUGGAGUCUGCAACCCGACUCCAUGAAGUUGGAAUCGCUAGUAAUCGCGCAUCAGCAUGGCGCGGUGAAUACGUUCCCGGGCCUU
rnacentral:rRNA from 1 species